CACGGGGGGAGCAAGCGUUGUUCGGAAUCACUGGGCGUAAAGGGCGUGUAGGCGGUCAGGUAAGUGUGAUGUGAAAUCCCUCGGCUCACCCGAGGACCGGCAUCGCAUACUGCUUGGCUUGAGUACGGGAGAGGAUGUGGGAAUUCCUGGUGUAGCGGUGAAAUGCGUAGAUAUCAGGAGGAACACCGGUGGCGAAGGCGCACAUCGGGACCUGACUGACGCUCAUGUACGAAAGCGUGGGGAGCAAACAGG
rnacentral:rRNA from 1 species